UGCCCUCCUUCCCCUCUACUUAACAAUGUAUGUUGGAGAUAUUCUAUAAUCUCUACAAAGAUAAUUUAUUUGUUUUACACAUUUUUAUAGUAUUCACUUUGGAAAUAUAUCCUGGUUUAUUCAAACACUUCAUUAUUGAAAGAUAUGCAUAUGUUUUUAAUUAUUAAAAAAUGAAAUUUUAUUGUAAUCACAAAAAAUGAGGUGUAGUAAAAAACAUGUACACAUGUCAUUUCAUAUUUUGACAGCUUAGCUUUUGAUGAAGCUGCUGUGAAUGGUAACAAAACUCACUGAAUCUUCUGUCCCCCUACCUUUCCAAAUAUACCUUUCUCUCCAGGGAAGAAUGUUUACCUGCUAUGCUGUGUGAAUUCUAUGUCAAGCCCCACUUCAGAAUCUUUAAUACCUACAAAAUUACUUUCUCUCACACCUCUAUCUAGAUAUAUUUUAUUCAUUAUUCAGGCCACAUAUUGAACUCCAGCUUUUCCAUAUAUUGUUCCAUGCCCAAUUCAUCUACUGUUGCAUUCUUUCUGCUUUGAAGUUGCAUAACAGGAUUACUCCUCUUGGAACAUAAUUAGUAAUCAUCCUAUAGUUUUAUUGAGAUGUGGCAUAUGUCAGUAUCAUAUUAUUACAGUGAAAUAUUACAUUCUUGGAAGGCAAAAACUAUCACAUUUUUCUAUAUCUCUCGUAGACUCUAUCAUUAAAUUGAUUACAAUAUAAGCAUGCAAUAAAAGUACUUACUGAAUUGAAUUAAAUCAAAUUGGAUUGAUUCUCCUGGAUCAUCAGUAUUUUCUGAGGCAUAAUACAGAGUUAUUCUAUUGUGAGCAAGCAUACCUUUCUGAAGCCCAAGGUAGAAUGGAGCUUUAAAAAAAUGGUUUCAAGAUCUAUCUUAUCUAACAAAGAAAAACAAUGGACAUAUAAACAGGAAUAUGGGUACAACACAACCAGAGAGGGAUAUUAUUGUGAGUCUGAUUUAAAGGUACGGACAUCAGAUGGCAUGGGUGAUGUAAUGAAAUAAACACAUAUUUAAAAGUUGCUAGGAAACCUAUAGUGUCCAUAAACAAAAUGCCUCACUUAACAGAAUCAGUAUAUAAUAACAAAAGAGAAACAGAGGAUUUUUGAUCAGUAGAGCUGGCUCUAAAUCAGUUUUGUCACCUUCCAAUUCUGCUACAUUGAACAAAUUACUGAACCUAGUUGAGACAAAAGAGAUAGUAAUAAGAGGCUCAAAUACCUGAUAAUAGGAUUGAAUAUCAUUAAAAUGUGAUUUUUGACUCUGUCAUUGCUAGUUACGAUUUCAUAAAUAAAUAAAACCAAGAAUGGUGAAAUGACUUCCAUAAAAUUACAAAAAUAGUAUCAGUUUUGGAACUUGAACUCAUUGUCUUUAUUUUGGGUCCAGUUAUACUUCUAUCAUGUCUUCAGUAUUUCACUCUACUUCUUUUAAGCAUUGAUAAAGUACCCUUGCAUUGCCUUUUUCUACUAGUUUCAAUAAAUCAGGUAAAUGAACACACUCUAUUUAACCACUUUGGACUUGUCUACUAUAUUUUCACUUAGAAUUUUCAUAAUAUUUUUGUUUUUCAGCUACUCGAUGUGGGGUUUUUUUUCCCCAUUAGAACCUGCCACUUCAUUGAAUAUGGACCAAAAUUAUCACUUCCAGAGUCAUGAUUUGCAAUCACUUCAAACUGUCAACCCCAAAGUGAAAAGCUGUGGAGAAACUGAGUGCUGAAGUAGAUUUACUUUGUCCAAGAUUCAUAAAUCUGGAGGAGAAACUGAUGCCCUUCAUCACAGAACUAAAUAUACACCUGGCCCUGAAGUGGGAGGAGCUAAAGAAGAAUUCAGAAAAGACCCAUGAGAAAGAAACCUUGUGCCAGAGGACCUAGUUAAGCCCACCUGGAUUCCUGACCCACAGAAACUGUGAGAUACUUUAUUUAUUUUAAGCCUCUAAGCUUUGGAAAAUUCAUUAUGCAGCAAUAGAUAAUUAAUGCAACGUAUGUUCUUCUGUGUUCCUCCUCCUCACUGACUCCUUUUAUUGAACCCCUUUCUCUUUUUUCUUCUUUUUUCUCUUAGUUCUUAAGUAUACAGACUUCAAAUUUGUAUGUGACAUUGAACGCUCUAAGAGUCUGAAUACUUUACCGUCAGUAAGCAUCAAACCCAAUCACGUAUCUGCAAACAUAAUCUGCGUAAUGGGAAGGUCAGCAUCCCUGGCUCCCUCCCUUAAAUUGUACUCUUUGAUGAAUAUUCACUCAUUUGUCAUUUCAGCAAAACUAUUUAAUGGGCAGCUACUAUCUUUAAUACAUCGUAUCAGCUGUCAUGUAGAACCCAAAAGUGAAUGAGAUAGGCUUCCUGACAUCAAAGGUAAAAUAAAAAUGUACAAAAUAAAGCAUCCCACAAAAGGGAUACUGUCAGGGGUCUUUGUAGAUUAAGAGGAGGGGAGAAAUGGCUUCCUGCUUGGAGGACCAGAAAAAGCUCUGUGAAGGGGGCACCCUGGACUGAAUGUUGAAAGAUAUACUGGCUGUAUAUACCUGCUGAAGUUUCUGUGAUGUAUAUACCUACUAAAGCUUCUGUGAGCUGGACCUCCACUUGAGAGCCUGUGUCUCUUACAUGGCUCAUAGGAUCAGCUACUUAACACACAGAAUCCAGUCUGAAUUCUAAGCUGUAUGGGUCCCCUCCACAAUUCUAAGUAGUUGAUUGUUUACCUUUUUGAUGCUUCUCCAGCCUCACUAACCUUGUCUACUCCAGCAUUUCUCAAACCUUUACUUACUUGGCUCUAAUGUUAAUGAAGAGAAAAGGUAUAAUUCUAGAAGAAAGAGACCAUGCCUGAUGUUCCAGGCUAAGAAGGUGGAGGUCAGAAUGGGGUAGAAGACUUAGGAUAAUACAGUGUUAGAGUAUCAAAAAAUUAGUUGUUACAAAAAAAGAAAAAAAAAGACCAUUGUGCACAAAACGUGAUUUCUAACCAUAAACCACUCCAUUAUUUAUUUCUAACAUGGCGCAUCAGGGUGAUUACCAUUUCUCAUUUUUUUUUUCCUUCCUUGGGGACUUGGAGUGAAACAGUGGAGACGUUUGAAAUGUGUCCUGUGUUAUUAUACUCAGACCUGAUUCUUUACUAACUUCAUAGUAUAUAGAUUUCUUUGGGAAAUUAUGGAGGUGGGGAUAAGAACUUGAAGUUACCAUCUGUUUCUGUCUAGGGAAUAACCAUAUUUCUAGACAUUAGAAAAAGUAAACCAUCAGUGUUCUUUGGCUUCAUUCUUCCAAAUUGUACUUUUAAUGAAAAGCAUGACAGUUAAAUAAUUAAAUUUAAGUCAUGCUGUGGCCAGGUACUUCUUUCCCCCCACAGGAUGCCUAAUCAUUUUUAUUUUUACAUUUUUUCCAGCUAUAUUGAGAUAUAAUCGACAUAUCACAUUGGAUAAGGUUAAGGUUCACAACAUGCUGGUUUAGUACACUUAAUAUUUGUAAAAUACUUUAACAUGACCAUGGUCAAGUCACUUAAAAGAUACCCUAGCUUUCAACAUUAACUGUGAAAAAUAUUUGGAAAACUGAAGACUUAAAAAUAUUCAUAUUGUUGACCCAGUAAUUUAUACCCCUGAAAAUUUGUCAUAAGAAAUCAUUUACAGUAAGGGAACAUGUUGGAAGCAGGCUACAUGAAUAAUCAACAGUAGGAGAAUGGUAUUGCAUAUGGCGGUACAUCAGCUCAAUGGAUUAUUAAGCAGCCAUUAAAAUGGUAAUUAGGAAGACAAACAUAAAUGUGAAAAUGUUUAUAAUGUGAUACGAAUAAAAGAAGAGAGUGCUAAAUUAUAUGGUAAACCAUAUGUACUUCAUAUUUGGUUAUGAAGAAAAACAGGAACAGAAUUUUUAAAAAUCAACUAUUGUGCUAGAAUAUAUAUAUAUUUUUUUCAAAGUUUAUUUAUUUAG